rnacentral:rRNA from 1 species
CCUACGGGAGGCAGCAGUGGGGAAUAUUGCACAAUGGGGGAAACCCUGAUGCAGCGACGCCGCGUGAAGGAAGAAGGUUUUCGGAUCGUAAACUUCAAUCAGCAGGGAAGAAGAAAGUGACAGUACCUGACUAAGAAGCCCCGGCUAACUACAUGCCAGCAGCCGCGGUAAUACUUAGGGGGCCAGCGUUAUCCGGCAUCCACGGGUGUAAAGGGUGCGUAUGAGGUAGGGCAAGUCAGAUGUGAAAGCCCGGUGCUCAACCCCGGGACUGCAUUUGAAACUGUCUUACUAGAGUGCAGGUGAGGAAAGCGGAAUUCCGAGUGUAGCGGUGAAAAGCGUAGAUAUUAGGAAGAACUCCAGUGGCGAAUUCGGCUUUCUGGACUGUAACUGACGCUGAUGCACGAAAGCGUGGGGAGCGAACAUGAUUAGAUACCCUUGGAGUC